UAGUAACGGCGAGUGAAGAGGAAAGAGCUCAAAGUUGGAACCUGUUUGGCUUAGCUAAACCGGAUUGUAAACUGUAGAAGUGUUUUCCAGACACGCCUGGUAAAAAAGUCCUUUGGAACAGGGCAUCAUAGAGGGUGAGAAUCCCGUCAUUGGCCAGAGCUGUUGUCUUUUGUGAUACAUUUUCAAAGAGUCAGGUUGUUUGGGAAUGCAGCCUAAAUUGGGUGGUAAAUCUCACCUAAAGCUAAAUAUUUGCGAGAGACCGAUAGCGAACAAGUACCGUGAGGGAAAGAUGAAAAGAACUUUGAAAAGAGAGUUAAACAGUAUGUGAAAUUGUUAAAAGGGAACCGUUUGGAGCCAGACUGGCUUGAUCGUAAUCACUCUAGGCUUUGGCCUGGAUGCACUUGCGGUCUAUGCCGGCCAACGACAGUUUUGUUUGAGGGAAAAAAUUACAUUGAAUGUGGCCCUUCGGGGUGUUAUAGCUUUGUAAAAAAUACCUUGGACGGGACUGAGGAACGCAGCGAAUGCCUUUAGGCGAGAUUGCUGGGUGCUUGCGCUGAUACAUGCUAGAAUUUCUGCUUCGGGUGGUGCUAGUGUGUAAAGGAGUAACCCGCUUAGUAUAUUUUUUAUUCGCUUAGGUUGUUGGCUUAAUGACUCUAAAUGACCCGUCUUGAAACACGGACCAAGGAGUCCACCAUUAGUGCAAGUAUUUGGGUGACAAACCCAUAUGCGCAAGGAAACUGAUUGAUACGAAGGCGCAAGCUGGCAGUAUCACCCGGCGUUGACGUUUUAUACUGAACUGACCGAGGUAAAGCACUAAUGAUGGGACCCGAAAGAUGGUGAACUAUGCCUGAAUAGGGUGAAGCCGGAGGAAACUCCGGUGGAGGCUCGUAGCGAUUCUGACGUGCAAAUCGAUCGUCAAAUUUGGGUAUAGGGGCGAAAGACUAAUCG
rnacentral:rRNA from 1 species